AUACGGGGGAUUCAAGCGUUAUCCGGACUUAUUGGGUUUAAAGGGUGCGCAGGCGGGAGAUUAAGUCGGCGGGGGAAUUUUUCAGCUCAACUGUAAAAGUGGCUUAGAAACUGGUUUCCUUGAGUGUAGAUGAAGGAGGCGGCAUUUGUGGGUUAGCGGUGGAAUGCAUAGAUAUCACGAGGAACUCCGAUUGCGCAGGCAGCUUACUAAACUACUACUGACGCUCAGGCACGAAGGCGUGGGGAUCAAACAGGAUUAGAUACCCUGGUAGUCCACGCAGUAAACGAUGAUUACUAGCUGUUUGCGAUACAAUGUAAGCGGCUGAGCGAAAGCGUUAAGUAAUCCACCUGGGGAGUACGUUCGCAAGAAUGAAACUCAAAGGAAUCGACGGGG
rnacentral:rRNA from 1 species